rnacentral:rRNA from 1 species
UACGUAGGGUGCGAGCGUUAAUCGGAAUUACUGGGCGUAAAGCGUGCGCAGGCGGUGAUGUAAGACCGAUGUGAAAUCCCCCGGGCUUAACCUGGGAACUGCAUUGGUGACUGCAUUGCUGGAGUAUGGCAGAGGGGGGUGGAAUUCCACGUGUAGCAGUGAAAUGCGUAGAUAUCAAGAGGAACACCAGUGGCGAAGGCGAGUCCCUGGACAACACCUGACACUGAGGCACGAAAGCUAGGGGAGCAAACAGG